rnacentral:lncRNA from 13 species
GCCCUGAUCAAACUCACAAAUGUAAGGUUUAUUGCUGAAGUAAAAUGAGGAAACUGAGGCAAGGCAAAUGAGAAGCUAAUUUAUUGAACUCCUUUGCGAGGUUCUGUGGUCCAGGAAGGGGCCAAAGAAGUCAUGCCCAGCUGUUUAGGGCAUGGGGUUUUAUGGGGAGGGAAGGCAAUUGAUUGGCCAUUGGGGAAACAAAGGGUAGGCAAUUUCAUUGGCUGUUAAGAGGCAAGAAGUGUCUGGAGCUAGCUGUCAUUGGCCAGUCUGCCUCAUAUGCAUGAGUCCUCAAGAAUCACACAGUCAAAGGAAUUAGAUUUUUGGCCCUUCAGAGAACGAAAGAUGUUUUACAGCUUUGGAAAAAAGAUAGGACAUUUGCAUCUCACAUGUUCACACCAUGGAACAAUAAGGUACAUCCUAUUAUUGCCCAUUGUUAGAAUAGUUCUACCUUGAGGUACAAAUGCAAAUUAAAAUAAGAGAUAAAGAAAGAGUACUUAGAAUGUGGUAAAAAAUUUC